GGCGCCAGCUGCACCGCCGGGUAGCUAUGUGCGGUUUAGAUAAGCGCUGAAAGCAUCUAAGCGCGAAGCUAGCCCCAAGAUGAGACUUCCCUUGAGGGUCGUGGAAGACUACCACGUCGAUAGGCUGCAGGUGUAAAGGCAGUAAUGUCAAAGCCGAGCAGUACUAAUAACCCGAUAGGCUUCUUAUA
rnacentral:rRNA from 1 species